AUGACAACUCCGCCUCCAGAGUCCUGGAAGCAAAAGAACCUCUCCAGCUAGUGCCAAGGGCAGGGAGUGUACAGCUCACACCGGAAGCCUCACACAGCGCCUAAGCUAUCUUAAGACUCUCAGUGAUCAAGGGACCCAAUACUGACAGCCGCGCCCCACCGCGCUGGCCCGAACUUCACAGACAGAGGCCCCCCGGGACACACCUAAGACCCUAGAAUGCCAGGUCAUGGAACCUUUAAAAGCGGGUCAGAGCUUCUGGUCUUUGGGAGUAUUCAAUUGAAGGGAUAAGGAGAUGCAGCUCAUUCUCUCCCCACUUCUCUGUCUUCCAACACGAGGUCUUAUUGUGUAAGUCUGACUGGCUUGAAACUAAACGAGGCUAAAUAACGAUCCACCCGAAUCUGCCUCCUGAGUGCUGGGGUAAAGGCGUGAACCACCAUAUUCAGACCAUUCUCCAACUUUUUAAAAGCACGGGCUCUGGCAGCCCAGUCAGCAUCGAGCUUGCUAUGUAGCCAGGAAUGCCUGCAAACUUCUGAUCCUCCUGCCUUCACAUAACAACUUCUGGGGUUACAGGCAGGUGUCACCACACCUAGGAUUAUGAAAGGCUAAAGAGAAAUCCGAGGACUCCAUGCGUAUUAGGCAACCGCUCUGCCAACUGAGCCACAUCAGCACCGCUUCCUGUCCUCUGUCCGGGCCUUCAGCUUGCUCUACUGAGUGUUCCUUGCAAUGGCACCCUCCCAUAACUGACUGUGGGCUGAAACUUCCAACACUAUGAAGCAAAACAAACCUUUUCUAUUCAUAAGCUAACUAUCUUAGGUGUUUUUUUGUUUGUUUCUUUGUUUUUAAUGAUAAAAAGCUGACUACAAUGCCACGCUCCUCUUGGUCUUAUGGCACCUACCUUUACCUGUGGUGGAUGUGGAUUCUCUUGAUUUCCAUAAGAGACUUGUUUGGCUUGCAGAAAAUGUGUGUGCAUAGUUUAUAUAUGACAUAUAUACUAUAUGUAUCAGCCUCUAUAUACUCUGUAUCAGAAUAUGAAAGUGGGCUAUCUCAAGUAUUUCACUGAGCUAAAAGGAAAGCAAAUACUGUUGUGGGUAGAAACAUGUUUUUAUUUUGGUCCCAGGUGUGGGAUGUGGGACUGAUCCAGAUGGUCCACAGCAGCAGACCAUUUGCCUCAUGCGGGCUCUGAGAGGAGCUCUUUGCCACCUGCAGAGAGUUUAAAUCUGAAGACUCUGGAGAGAGAAUAAAUGCCGGAGCCCAAAGAGUGUGGGAGCUCUGAGAAGGAACAAGGCUGCUCCUGCUUCUCCCUUGCUGCUUCUGGUUGCUGCAGUGAGACAAGAAGUUGGAGAUCUCCUGAAACGAGGAUUGGACUGGCUCCAAGGAACAGGAUGACCCUAACCAGCAGGAAGCAGCUAAGAGAACUGCACCCCUUCUCCCACUAACCCUUUUUCUCUCCUACCUGGUGUUGGAAGGGGUUAGGGUGGAGUAGGGAGAAAGAUAAAAUAAAUAUAAGAGAAUUUUUAAAAA